AACGAUGAAGCCCUUCGGGGUGGAUUAGUGGCGAACGGGUGAGUAACACGUGGGCAAUCUGCCCUUCACUCUGGGACAAGCCCUGGAAACGGGGUCUAAUACCGGAUAACACCGGCUUCCGCAUGGAAGCUGGUUAAAAGCUCCGGCGGUGAAGGAUGAGCCCGCGGCCUAUCAGCUUGUUGGUGGGGUAAUGGCCUACCAAGGCGACGACGGGUAGCCGGCCUGAGAGGGCGACCGGCCACACUGGGACUGAGACACGGCCCAGACUCCUACGGGAGGCAGCAGUGGGGAAUAUUGCACAAUGGGCGAAAGCCUGAUGCAGCGACGCCGCGUGAGGGAUGACGGCCUUCGGGUUGUAAACCUCUUUCAGCAGGGAAGAAGCGAAAGUGACGGUACCUGCAGAAGAAGCGCCGGCUAACUACGUGCCAGCAGCCGCGGUAAUACGUAGGGCGCAAGCGUUGUCCGGAAUUAUUGGGCGUAAAGAGCUCGUAGGCGGCUUGUCACGUCGGGUGUGAAAGCCCGGGGCUUAACCCCGGGUCUGCAUCCGAUACGGGCAGGCUAGAGUGUGGUAGGGGGAGAUCGGAAUUCCUGGUGUAGCGGUGAAAUGCGCAGAUAUCAGGAGGAACACCGGUGGCGAAGGCGGAUCUCUGGGCCAUUACUGACGCUGAGGAGCGAAAGCGUGGGGAGCGAACAGGAUUAGAUACCCUGGUAGUCCACGCCGUAAACGUUGGGAACUAGGUGUUGGCGACAUUCCACGUCGUCGGUGCCGCAGCUAACGCAUUAAGUUCCCCGCCUGGGGAGUACGGCCGCAAGGCUAAAACUCAAAGGAAUUGA
rnacentral:rRNA from 1 species